UACGUAGGGUGCAAGCGUUGUCCGGAAUUACUGGGCGUAAAGGGCUCGUAGGCGGCCAACUAAGUCAGACGUGAAAUCCCUCGAGUCUACCGGGGAACUGCAUCUGAUACUGGAUGGCUUGAGAUUGGGAGAGGGAUGCGGAAUUCCAGGUGUAGCGGUGAAAUGCGCAGAUAUCAGGAGGAACACCGAUGGCGAGGCAGCUCGCUGGGACGGUACUGACGCUGAGGCGCGAAAGCGUGGGGAGCGAACAGG
rnacentral:rRNA from 1 species